AAGGGUGCGUAGGUGGCCUGUUAAGUCAGGGGUGAAAGACGGUAGCUCAACUAUCGCAGUGCCCUUGAUACUGAUGGGCUUGAAUUGACUAGAGGUAGGCGGAAUGUGACAAGUAGCGGUGAAAUGCAUAGAUAUGUCACAGAACACCGAUUGCGAAGGCAGCUUACUAUGGUCUUAUUGACGCUGAGGCACGAAAGCGUGGGGAUCAAACAGGAUUAGAUACCCCCGGU
rnacentral:rRNA from 1 species